GGAUGUGAGGGCAAUGUAGUUGUAACACCUAUUGAUCACCAGGGUUGAUUCAGCUGAUCCAGCUGGCUAGAGAGUUGUUGCCUUCCUCUCUCACUGCUUCACGUGUGUCCCUCUCAAGGCUAUGUGCUCGGUUGAAAAGGGUGACCACAUCCAACAGAAAAGGAGCUUCUCCUCAGUCAAGGGUAUAUGAAUAGUUGUGUUCCCCUGCUAGAAUCUCCAAAAAAGCUCUCAAGAAUAACUAGUAGAAUUCAAUUGAUAACUCUACCUACAAUUAUUUUGUGGCAUGACAAGAACAUCCAAU
rnacentral:snRNA from 1 species